UACGAAGGGUGCAAGCGUUACUCGGAAUUACUGGGCGUAAAGCGCGUGUAGGCGGCCCUGCAAGUCGGAUGUGAAAUCCCACGGCUCAACCGUGGAAGUGCAUUCGAAACUGCAGGGCUAGAGUCCUGGAGAGGAAGGUGGAAUGCUUGGUGUAGAGGUGAAAUUCGUAGAUAUCAAGCGGAACACCGGUGGCGAAGGCGGCCUUCUGGACAGUGACUGACGCUGAGACGCGAAAGCGUGGGGAGCAAACAGG
rnacentral:rRNA from 1 species